rnacentral:rRNA from 1 species
GAUGAACGCUAGCGGCAGGCUUAAUACAUGCAAGUCGAGGGGCAGCGCGGGUAGCAAUACCUGGCGGCGACCGGCAAACGGGUGCGGAACACGUACAGAACCUUCCUUUAAGCGGGGGAUAGCCCAUAGAAAUGUGGAUUAAUACCCAUAGUAAUAUUGAUUGGCAUCAAUUGAUAUUUAAAGAUUUAUCACUUAAAGAUGGCUGUGCGGCUGAUUAGGUAGUUGGUGCGGGAACGGCCCACCAAGCCAGCGAUCAGUAACUGGUGUGAGAGCACGACCAGUCACACGGGCACUGAGACACGGGCCCGACUCCUACGGGAGGCAGCAGUAAGGAA